rfam:Oryza glumipatula chromosome 6, whole genome shotgun sequence.
GAAAAAAGAUACAUUUUAUUCUCAUGUCCAACUUUAAUUGUCUAUCUUAUUUAAACUUUUUUAUAAUUAAUAUUUUUAUUAUUAUUAGAUGAUAAAACAUGAAUAAUAUUUUAUACGUGACUUAUGUUUUUAAUAUUAAAAAAAUAAAAAAUAAUAUGGAUGAUUAAAAUUAGACACGAAAACUCAUAACCACGCUUGAA